rnacentral:tRNA from 1 species
GUCCCAGUAGUUAAAUGGUCUACAAGCCUGACUUUUAAUCAUAAGGUCCUGGGUUCGAAACCCGGCGGGUACU